rnacentral:rRNA from 1 species
UACGUAGGGUGCAAGCGUUAAUCGGAAUUACUGGGCGUACAGCGUGCGCAGGCGGUGAUGUAAGACAGGUGUGAAAUCCCCGGGCUUAACCUGGGAACUGCAUUUGUGACUGCAUUGCUGGAGUGCGGCAGAGGGGGAUGGAAUUCCGCGUGUAGCAGUGAAAUGCGUAGAUAUGCGGAGGAACACCGAUGGCGAAGGCAAUCCCCUGGGCCUGCACUGACGCUCAUGCACGAAAGCGUGGGGAGCAAACAGG